rnacentral:rRNA from 1 species
GCAAGUCUCCACGAACCUUUCGGGGUUAGUGGCGGACCGCCGAGUAACGCGUACCGAUCUCUCCUUGGGUGGGGGAUAACUCCGGGAAACUGGAGUUUCCACCUCAUGACGCCUGAGGGUCCAAGGCGCGAGUCCCCUGUGCAGGAACCUGCUCUCGAUUUGCUGGGUGGUGGGGUAAAGGCCUCCUAGGGGAUCAUCGAUCCACGGCCCACACUCCUACGGAAGGCACCGUGGGGAUAUUGGGACAUUGGGCGCAGCCCUGAUCCACCAUGCCGCGGUGUGAGAGAAGUCUUCGGAUGUGUAGGCACUUCCCACG